rnacentral:rRNA from 1 species
UACGAAGGGGGCUAGCGUUGCUCGGAAUCACUGGGCGUAAAGGGUGCGUAGGCGGGUCUUUAAGUCAGGGGGUGAAAUCCUGGAGCUCAACUCCAGAACUGCCUUUGAUACUGAGGAUCUUGAGUUCGGGAGAGGUGAGUGGAACUCCGAGUGUAGAGGUGAAAUUCGUAGAUAUUCGGAAGAACACCAGUGGCGAAGGCGGCUCACUGGUCCGGUACUGACGCUGAGGUGCGAAAGCGUGGGGAGCAAACAGG